AAUAUUGUGAACUCUCAUUUGGUCCAAGUUACAGACAUUGUCUUUUUUAAAUGUUUUUAUUUCUGAAAAUUGAUGCCCAAUUAAGUCACACUGGCUCUUUUUCCACAGACCCUGUAGAGACGGAGAUGGAUAAUUGUGCCCUGGAGAAGCUCUGAUACCAGCUUUUACCAAGUUCUUAACAGAGUUCACAAGACUUCUCUGUGUUAAUCCCUGACCAUGCCGAAAAGCUAUUUGAAACUUGGGCAUUGCAUUUUACAGACAGAAUCCUGCAACUUCCCAGCCAGGAACAUCAACAAAUUGCCUCCAGAACCCCAUGAUGAUAUUCCAACUCCUGUCUACAAAAGUUGGAAGAAAAUCUUAAGUCUACAUUGUGUAUCUACAGUUCAACAUUCAGCGUGCUGAUGUGUAUCUCUCUUUUGAUUAAUAAAGAGGCAGCAAAAACUUGGGAUCUACAUUGGCCCUGCCACGUCUGGAGAGUAUUGUUACUGUUUAAUGAAUUAAAUUGUAAUAAAAUUUUAAAUGGACUUCUGAGUGUUGUCAUAAUUUACAUGCAUCUAAUAAUCAGUAAUAUAACAGUGUGAAAUACAUUACUUUUUGCAUACAAGCAUUUACAUUUUAUUCUUUAAGCAUGUAACAGAUUGUAGUUAGUUAUAUUUUGUGUAUAUAUGUGUAUAUAUGUGAAUAUAAAAACUACCGUAAUCAAUUAUACUGCAUAGUAAUUUUACAGUAUUUUAAAACACAGUGCAAAAAUAUGAACUAUAAUUCAUUUUACAGUAAAAAUAUACUGUAAGUUAUUAAACAGUAUGCUGUGAACUACUGUAGUCAGAUUUACAGUAAUUUUACCGUGGAAUAAAAAACUGAAGCUUGCUGGCUAUUUGUUGCCAGUAAGUUACUGUUGAUUUUACGUUAAAUUUUUUACAGUGUACUACUUUUACUUGAGUAAUAUUAUACCCUGGGUAUCUUUAGUUUUACUCAAGUACAUGAAUUGUGUACUUCGUCCACCACUGAAUCUAAGUAUGCUUGCCUAAAUGGGUUGGUUUGGGGGGGUCAGGUUCGUCGUUAUCUUUGUUUGCAUGUUCAGAUGCAGAGACGAUUGGCAAGAAGCAAGAAGCUCUUUGCAAGAAGCAAUGCUACCCUAGCUUUCUUACGAGAUUUACUGAUUUGUUAGCUACUGUUAAUGUGUGUACUAGCUCUGUUAUAUAAACAGUAGUAUAGUAAUGUGCAAUGAUACUUAAGCAAUAUCGCUCGAGUAGGAGUGUGAUAUAGC